AGAGUUUGAUCCUGGCUCAGGAUGAACGCUAGCGACAGGCUUAACACAUGCAAGUCGAGGGGCAGCGGGGUGUAGCAAUACACCGCCGGCGACCGGCGCACGGGUGAGUAACGCGUAUGCAACUUGCCUAUCAGAGGGGGAUAACCCGGCGAAAGUCGGACUAAUACCGCAUGAAGCAGGGAUCCCGCAUGGGAAUAUUUGCUAAAGAUUCAUCGCUGAUAGAUAGGCAUGCGUUCCAUUAGGCAGUUGGCGGGGUAACGGCCCACCAAACCGACGAUGGAUAGGGGUUCUGAGAGGAAGGUCCCCCACAUUGGUACUGAGACACGGACCAAACUCCUACGGGAGGCAGCAGUGAGGAAUAUUGGUCAAUGGGCGUAAGCCUGAACCAGCCAAGUCGCGUGAGGGAUGAAGGUUCUAUGGAUCGUAAACCUCUUUUAUAAGGGAAUAAAGUGCGGGACGUGUCCCGUUUUGUAUGUACCUUAUGAAUAAGGAUCGGCUAACUCCGUGCCAGCAGCCGCGGUAAUACGGAGGAUCCGAGCGUUAUCCGGAUUUAUUGGGUUUAAAGGGUGCGUAGGCGGCCUUUUAAGUCAGCGGUGAAAGUCUGUGGCUCAACCAUAGAAUUGCCGUUGAAACUGGGGGGCUUGAGUAUGUUUGAGGCAGGCGGAAUGCGUGGUGUAGCGGUGAAAUGCAUAGAUAUCACGCAGAACCCCGAUUGCGAAGGCAGCCUGCCAAGCCAUUACUGACGCUGAUGCACGAAAGCGUGGGGAUCAAACAGGAUUAGAUACCCUGGUAGUCCACGCAGUAAACGAUGAUCACUAGCUGUUUGCGAUACACUGUAAGCGGCACAGCGAAAGCGUUAAGUGAUCCACCUGGGGAGUACGCCGGCAACGGUGAAACUCAAAGGAAUUGACGGGGGCCCGCACAAGCGGAGGAACAUGUGGUUUAAUUCGAUGAUACGCGAGGAACCUUACCCGGGUUUGAACGCAUUCGGACCGAGGUGGAAACACCUUUUCUAGCAAUAGCCGUUUGCGAGGUGCUGCAUGGUUGUCGUCAGCUCGUGCCGUGAGGUGUCGGCUUAAGUGCCAUAACGAGCGCAACCCUUGCCACUAGUUACUAACAGGUUAGGCUGAGGACUCUGGUGGGACUGCCAGCGUAAGCUGCGAGGAAGGCGGGGAUGACGUCAAAUCAGCACGGCCCUUACAUCCGGGGCGACACACGUGUUACAAUGGCGUGGACAAAGGGAGGCCACCUGGCGACAGGGAGCGAAUCCCCAAACCACGUCUCAGUUCGGAUCGGAGUCUGCAACCCGACUCCGUGAAGCUGGAUUCGCUAGUAAUCGCGCAUCAGCCAUGGCGCGGUGAAUACGUUCCCGGGCCUUGUACACACCGCCCGUCAAGCCAUGGGAGCCGGGGGUACCUGAAGUCCGUAACCGAAAGGAUCGGCCUAGGGUAAAACUGGUGACUGGGGCUAAGUCGUAACAAGGUAACC
rnacentral:rRNA from 1 species